CAUCUAGCAUGUGCGCAAGUCAUUGGGUAUUUAUAAUAAACCUAAAGGCAUAAUGAAAGUAAAUAUAUAUAUAAUUUUUAUAAUUAUAUUUUAUAAAGGGAAGAUGGGUAACGUUAUUUAUGUUACCUCGCAUUCCCGGGGCGUCGCAUACUUAUUGCAAGUUGCGGCGCACCAAGAGCGUACACGCUGGGACCCGAAAGAUGGUGAACUAUGCCUGGUCAGGAUGAAGUCAGGGGAAACCCUGAUGGAGGUCCGUAGCGAUUCUGACGUGCAAAUCGAUCGUAUGAACUGGGUAUAGGGGCGAAAGACUAAUCGAACCAUC
rnacentral:rRNA from 1 species